GACGAACGCUGGCGGCGUGCUUAACACAUGCAAGUCGAACGGUAAGGCCCUUCGGGGUACACGAGUGGCGAACGGGUGAGUAACACGUGGGUGAUCUGCCCUGCACUUCGGGAUAAGCCUGGGAAACUGGGUCUAAUACCGGAUAGGACCACUGCCUGCAUGGGUGGUGGUGGAAAGCUUUUGCGGUGUGGGAUGGGCCCGCGGCCUAUCAGCUUGUUGGUGGGGUGAUGGCCUACCAAGGCGACGACGGGUAGCCGGCCAGAGAGGGGGACCGGCCACACUGGGACUGAGAUACGGCCCAGACUCCUACGGGAGGCAGCAGUGGGGAAUAUUGCACAAUGGGCGCAAGCCUGAUGCAGCGACGCCGCGUGAGGGAUGACGGCCUUCGGGUUGUAAACCUCUUUCAGCACCGACGAAGCGCAAGUGACGGUAGGUGCAGAAGAAGGACCGGCCAACUACGUGCCAGCCGCCGCAGUAA
rnacentral:rRNA from 1 species